GUUUUGACCCCCUUGGUUAAUUCACAUGACUUGAAAUUAACUUAAAAUGUCGGUAUUUCGAUACCAGAUUUAUUAAUUCAUGUACAACAAUGGAGACAUUUGCCUCAUUUAUCACCUGUAGCAUCUUCGUCCAUUUUCUUUUGUGUGUCUCAGCCAAACCACCACAUAUUCUUUUCAUCGUAGCAGACGAUCUUGGUUGGAACGAUGUCGGAUUUCGGAACCCCGAUGUCCUCACCCCAAACAUCGAUAAAUUGGCGCGCAGUGGGAUGAUCCUGAAUUCAUCCUACGUAAUGCCAGUCUGCACACCAUCAAGGAAUUCAUUCAUGACAGGUCAUUAUGCCUUUAAAUCUGGAUUACAGCAUCUUGCGAUUAAUCCACAACAAGCCACUUGUGCCCCUCUAAACUAUACAUUUUUACCUCAGAAGUUGAAGGAACUUGGUUAUGCUACUCAUGCAAUUGGAAAGUGGCAUUUGGGAUUUUGUAAAUGGGAGUGUACCCCUACAUAUCGAGGAUUUGACACAUUCUUUGGAUUUUACAAUGACCAAGAAGACUACUAUACUCUCAGUGUCGCUGGAGGUAAAGACUUCAGAGACAAUAAAGUACCUGUAAACGCAACAGGUGAAUACUCCACAUUUUUGUAUUCCCGGUGAGCAGAGUCAAUUAUUAAGGAGCAUGAUGCAUCCAAACCGAUAUACAUGUACUUACCUUUCCAAUCUGUACACGCACCCCUUCAGGUCCCUAAUAGGUAUACUGACAUGUACACCAAUGUACAUACCAAAAGCCGCCGGACUUACAUGGGUAUGGUAACUGCAAUGGAUGAAGCUAUCGGCAACAUUACAAAAGCUCUAAAGACCAAAGGAAUUUUUAAUGAUACUCUUAUUAUUUUUACUACUGAUAAUGGUGGUGCUGUUAAGUUUGCUGGAAAUAACUACCCUUUGAGGGGUGGAAAGGCCACCUUGUUUGAGGGAGGAACUAGAGCUACUGCUUUUGUGACCGGGGCAGGAAUACAAAAGUUUAACUAUGAAUAUUCAGGAUUAAUUCAUGCAGUAGAUUGGAUGCCAACUGUGCUUAGCGCCGCAGGAGGAACAGCAGACUCGAAAUUAGAUGGUAUUGAUCAGUGGGAUAGUCUUCGAACAGCACGAGAAUCGAAAAGAAACGAGUUUAUCUACAACAUUGACGACUUUAGGCCAGAGAUUGGUGGCCAUGCAGCCAUAAGGAUAGGUGACUAUAAGUUGAUUGAUGGUUAUCCUGGGCUCCACCAAGGUUGGUACAAGCCAGAUCAUGUAGGCUAUGACCUGAACGAAGAUGUUUCGACAAACUGCAUGCGCCCUUUUUUCGACAAAAUGAUGCUCUUUAACUUGCAGGACGACCCUAAUGAACAUGUCGAUUUAUCCAGGAAGCACCCAGAUAUAGUGAAAAAAUUGAAGUCGAGACUCGAGUACUAUCAUAAUCAAAUUGUUCCUGCAAAUUUCCCUAAGAAUUCGGCAUCGUCAGCCCCAACCAGUUACGGAGGAUUUUGGUCUCCAGGAUGGUGUUAAUGUGUUGUAGACUAAAAAGGUCUUUAGUGUUGUUCUUUUGAAUAAUUUUAAUUGUUUUAAAAAUAUAAAGCUUAAACAGACAAUAAAAUUUUUUUGAUUGGGCAUAUACAUAAAUUUGUUAAUCAUAAAGUAAAUUGCAAUAUAUAUUUAUGUUACGUUUUCUUAUUACAUUUGUUUAAUCAUAUAAAUCACUAUGGUGU
rnacentral:misc_RNA from 1 species